UAGAGAUCCUGCCCUCACGGGUAGACCUCCAACCCUAUGUAUUUAUACCUCGUUGCUUCGGCAGGCCGUCUAGGCUUCGGCUUAGCCAUGGGCUUCGGCUCGUGAGUGCCUGCCAGAAGACACCAAAACUCUUAUUAUUUGACUGAAUUUUAUCAAGUAAUCCAAUUUUUUUGGAUUAAAAAAAGUUUUAAAA
rnacentral:misc_RNA from 1 species